GCUCCCAAAGUAUUCUUAUGCUACUAUACAUUAGCUCCCGAAGUAUUCUAAUGCUACUAUACAUUAGCUCCCGAGGUAUUCUAAUGAUAGUAGAUGAGACAAUGGUAUAGUAUCUAAAAUGGAUCAAUUAAUUAGCGGACUGUGUCUCACGCAUAUGCCUUUCAUUUCCAUUUCAUAAAAAAGAAAGAAAUAAAGAAAUAAGGAACACGUUGAUCAUAUCAAAGUCAGAAGAUACUAAUAAUUAUAGUUCGUCAUGGGUAGGGACACUAUUGCCAAUAG
rnacentral:lncRNA from 1 species